rnacentral:rRNA from 1 species
AUACGUAGGUGACAAGCGUUAUCCGGAUUUACUGGGCGUAAAGGGCGUGUAGGCGGUCUUGCAAGUCAGAAGUGAAAUUCCUGAGCUCAACUCGGGCGCUGCUUCUGAAACUGCAGGACUUGAGUGCUGGAGGGGAUAGCGGAAUUCCUAGUGGAGCGGUAAAAUGCGCAGAUAUUAGGAAGAACACCGGUGGCGAAGGCGGUUAUCUGGACAGUAACUGACGCUGAGGCGCGAAAGCGUGGGGAGCAAACAGGAUUAGAUACCCUGGUAGUCAACGCCGUAAACGAUGAAUACUAGGUGUAGGGGGUAUCGACUCCCUCUGUGCCGCAGUUAACACAAUAAGUAUUCCGCCUGGGGAGUACGGCCGCAAGGUUGAAACUCAAAUGAAUUGGCGGG